UACCAGACUCCUACGGGAGGCAGCAGUGGGGAAUAUUGCACAAUGGGGGAAACCCUGAUGCAGCGACGCCGCGUGAGCGAUGAAGUAUUUCGGUAUGUAAAGCUCUAUCAGCAGGGAAGAAGAUGACGGUACCUGACUAAGAGGCCCCGGCUAACUACGUGCCAGCAGCCGCGGUAAUACGUAGGGGGCAAGCGUUAUCCGGAUUUACUGGGUGUAAAGGGAGCGUAGACGGCGAUGCAAGCCAGAUGUGAAAGCCCGGGGCUCAACCCCGGGACUGCAUUUGGAACUGUGUGGCUGGAGUGUCGGAGAGGCAGGCGGAAUUCCUGGUGUAGCGGUGAAAUGCGUAGAUAUCAGGAGGAACACCGGUGGCGAAGGCGGCCUGCUGGACUGCGACUGACGUUGAGGCCCGAAAGCGUGGGGAGCAAACAGGAUUAGAUACCCCAGUAGAG
rnacentral:rRNA from 1 species